ACGAACCACACGAACGUUAUUCGGAAUUACUGGGCUUAAAGGGUGCGUAGGCGGCCUGACAAGUUGGGUGUGAAAUACCUCGGCUUAACCGAGGAAUGGCGCUCAAAGCUGUCGGGCUUGAGGGAGAUAGAGGUGAGCGGAACUUAAGGUGGAGCGGUGAAAUGCGUUGAUAUCUUAAGGAACACCCGUGGCGAAAGCGGCUCACUGGAUCUCAUCUGACGCUGAUGCACGAAAGCCAGGGGAGCAAACG
rnacentral:rRNA from 1 species